rnacentral:rRNA from 1 species
CCAGACUCCUACGGGAGGCAGCAGUGGGGAAUAUUGGGCAGUGGACGCAAGUCUGACCCAGCAACGCCGCGUGAAGGAAGAAGGCUUUCGGGUUGUAAACUUCUUUUAAGGGGGAAGAGCAGAAGACGGUACCCCUUGAAUAAGCCACGGCUAACUACGUGCCAGCAGCCGCGGUAAUACGUAGGUGGCAAGCGUUGUCCGGAUUUACUGGGUGUAAAGGGAGCGUAGGCGGCAGUGCAAGUCAGAAGUGGAAGCCCGGGGCUCAACCCCGGGACUGCUUUUGAAACUGUACAGCUUGAUUGCAGGAGAGGCAAGUGGAAUUCCUAGUGUAGCGGUGAAAUGCGUAGAUAUUAGGAGGAACACCAGUGGCGAAGGCGGCUUGCUGGACUGUAAAUGACGCUGAGGCUCGAAAGCGUGGGGAGCAAACAGGAUUAGAUACCCUAGUAC